rnacentral:rRNA from 1 species
GAUGAACGCUGGCGGCGUGCCUAAUACAUGCAAGUCGAGCGAACAGACGAGGAGCUUGCUCCUCUGACGUUAGCGGCGGACGGGUGAGUAACACGUGGAUAACCGACCUAUAAGACUGGGAUAACGUCGGGAAACCUGAGCUAAUACCGGAUAAUAUAUUGAACCGCAUGGUUCAAUAGUGAAAGACGGUUUUGCUGUCACUUAUAGAUGUAUCCGCGCCGCAUUAGCUAGUUGGUAAGGUAACGGCUUACCAAGGCAACGAUGCGUAGCCGACCUGAGAGGGUGAUCGGCCACACUGGAACUGAGACACGGUCCAGACUCCUACGGGAGGCAGCAGUAGGGAAUCUUCCGCAAUGGGCGAAAGCCUGACGGAGCAACGCCGCGUGAGUGAUGAAGGUCUUCGGAUCGUAAAACUCUGUUAUUAGGGAAGAACAAAUGUGUAAGUAACUAUGCACGUCUUGACGGUACCUAAUCAGAAAGCCACGGCUAACUACGUG